AUUGAACGCUGGCGGCAUGCUUUACACAUGCAAGUCGAACGGUAACAGGUUAAGCUGACGAGUGGCGAACGGGUGAGUAAUGCAUCAGAACGUGCCCGGUCGUGGGGGAUAACGCAGCGAAAGCUGCGCUAAUACCGCAUACGAUCUGAGGAUGAAAGCGGGGGCCCGUAAGGCCUCGCGCGAUCGGAGCGGCCGAUGUCAGAUUAGGUAGUUGGUGGGGUAAAGGCUCACCAAGCCAACGAUCUGUAGCUGGUCUGAGAGGACGACCAGCCACCCUGGGACUGAGACACGGCCCAGACUCCUACGGGAGGCAGCAGUGGGGAAUUUUGGACAAUGGGCGAAUGCCUGAUCCAGCAAUGCCGCGUGCAGGAAGAAGGCCUUCGGGUUGUAAACUGCUUUUGUACGGAGCGAAAAGGUCUCCGCUAAUACCUGGGGCUAAUGACGGUACCGUAAGAAUAAGCACCGGCUAACUACGUGCCAGCAGCCGCAGUAAAAC
rnacentral:rRNA from 1 species